CAUGGUGGUAACGGGUAACGGGGAAUUAGGGUUCGAUUCCGGAGAGGGAGCCUGAGAAACGGCUACCACUUCCAAGGAAGGCAGCAGGCGCGCAAAUUACCCAAUCCCGACACGGGGAGGUAGUGACAAUAAAUAACAAUACGGGGCUCUUUCGGGUCUCGUAAUUGGAAUGAGUACAAUUUAAAUCCCUUAACGAGGAACAAUUGGAGGGCAAGUCUGGUGCCAGCAGCCGCGGUAAUUCCAGCUCCAAUAGCGUAUAUUAAAGUUGUUGCAGUUAAAAAGCUCGUAGUUGAAUUUCGGGAUUGACGUGAUGGUCGUGCCUUAAGGGGUAUGAACUGUCGCAGUUGAUUUCUCACCUUCUGGAGAAGCAUGAUGUCCUUAAUUGGGUGUCAUGUGGAACCAGGACCUUUACCUUGAAAAAAUUAGAGUGUUUAAAGCAGGCAUUCUGCUCGAAUACAUUAGCAUGGAAUAAUAGAAUAGGACGGCAUGGUUCUAUUUUGUUGGUUUCUAGGAUCACCGUAAUGAUUAAUAGGGAUAGUUGGGGGCAUUAGUAUUCAAUUGUCAGAGGUGAAAUUCUUGGAUUUAUUGAAGACUAACUACUGCGAAAGCAUUUGCCAAGGAUGUUUUCAUUAAUCAAGAACGAAAGUUAGGGGAUCGAAGACGAUCAGAUACCGUCGUAGUCUUAACCAUAGACUAUGCCGACUAGG
rnacentral:rRNA from 1 species